rnacentral:lncRNA from 1 species
UGUUCGUCUUUGUUUAAAAUAGUUAUCAAAGGUACCAGGAUUAUAUUUCUAGUCGUAAAAAGUUACUACUUCAUAUAUCUGAAAAUUAAUAUGAUCACAUUUAAAAUAAAAUUAUUAUAAAGUCGAACAACAUAAUUUUUUAUUGACAUCAAACAUCUUGAGGUUCCAUUUUUAUUGUUUUAAUUUACAGGGCGAACUCUAUAUAAUUGCUUGUAUGCCAAAAGACAGUUCCUAACUCAGUCAACUGUCAGUCUUUGUGCUAGAAGCAUUACCGUGUGUUGUGAUUUCAUCGAAUCCAUCAGCCAUUACUGUUAGGUCCUAAAUGCAAUGCGUGUCGUCCCUUCAUUUUUCAUUAAUAAAGGAGUCGUAACGACAGACUAAUAUAUGGCAGGAAUUGUGGUCUAACAAAAUUCGCCUUUAACAAUAAUAUUUCCAAAACUUUGAAUUUACAUUGUAUGACCUCUUCGGAUCGUCAAAUUCGUAUUCAAUUUCUUUUUGAUAUCCUGAAGGACUUCUUCUACAAAAUGUUCUUUCAACAUAUUGGUUAAAACGUUGCGUCUUUUUGCACUGUGUGAUAUACUAACAUGUGAUCCUUUAAUGAUACUUUGAUGAUCGGUUGCUCGUCUUCUAUCUAAAGCAACCACCGUCUGUUGAUUGAUGAUUUUACACCGUCGAUAUCGGUUAAAAAUGAUCCAUUAGACUGUUUUCUUUCUCAAAUUAUAUGGUACACAUUCUGC